rnacentral:rRNA from 1 species
CCUACGGGGGGCAGCAGUGAGGAAUAUUGGUCAAUGGACGAGAGUCUGAACCAGCCACGUAGCGUGAAGGAUGACUGCCCUAUGGGUUGUCAACUUCUUUUAUAUGGGAAUAAAAUGUUCCACGUGUGGGAUUUUGUAUGUACCAUAUGAAUAAGGAUCGGCUAACUCCGUGCCAGCAGCCGCGGUAAUACGGAGGAUCCGAGCGUUAUCCGGAUUUAUUGGGUUUAAAGGGAGCGUAGGUGGAUUGUUAAGUCAGUUGUGAAAGUUUGCGGCUCAACCGUAAAAUUGCAGUUGAAACUGGAAGGCUUGAGUACAGUAGAGGUAGGCGGAAUUCGUGGUGUAGCGGUGAAAUGCUUAGAUAUCACGAAGAACUCCGAUUGCGAAGGCAGUUCACUGGACUGCAACUGACACUGAGGCUCGAAAGUGUGGGGAUCAAACAGGAUUAGAUACCCUUGUAGUC